rnacentral:rRNA from 1 species
GAUGAACGUUGGCGGUGUGCCUAAUACAUGCAAGUCGAACGGAGUCAGUAGCAAUAUUGGCUCAGUGGCGAACGGGUGAGUAACGCGUUGGUGAUCUGCCUUGAAGUGUGGAAUAACGUUUCGAAAGAGACGCUAAUACCGCAUGUGCUCUCGAUUUUCAGAAAGUUGAGAGUAAAGGAUUUAUUCGCUUCAAGAGGAGCCUGCGUCCCAUCAGCUGGUUGGUAGGGUAACGGCCUACCAAGGCUAUGACGGGUAGGGACCUGAGAGGGUGGCCCCCCACAAUGGAACUGAAACACGGUCCAUACACCUACGGGUGGCAGCAGUAGGGAAUAUUAGAAAUGGACGAAAGUCUGAUCUAGCAACACCGCGUGUGCGAUGAAGGCCUUGGGUCGUAAAGCACUUUUUGGAAGGAAUAGGAAGGAAUGUACUUCCAGAAUAAGUCUCGGCUAACUACGUGCCAGCAGCCGCGGUAAACGUAGCGUG